UACGUAGGGGGCAAGCGUUGUCCGGAAUCAUUGGGCGUAAAGAGCGUGUAGGCGGCCCGAUAAGUCCGCUGUGAAAGUCCAGGGCUCAACCCUGGAAUGCCGGUGGAUACUGUCGGGCUAGAGUUCGGAAGAGGUGAGUGGAAUUCCUGGUGUAGCGGUGAAAUGCGCAGAUAUCAGGAGGAACACCAAUGGCGAAGGCAGCUCACUGGGACGAUACUGACGCUGAGACGCGAAAGCGUGGGGAGCAAACAGG
rnacentral:rRNA from 1 species